CCGAGCGACUGAGCGAGAGCUGGACAAACCGCCUCCGCAGCUCUGGACCUCACCCAGGGCUUUCUGUGCCGAGGAGCCGCAGUCACAGGGGGGGGGGUUACGCAGUGAGAGAGGGACGACGUCUGUCCACACGUGUCGUCUACUCGGGUCUCGAGUCUUUUGAAGAACGAUUUCUUUACACCGGAGAAAGAAGUGAAAUCAUCUCACCGAACUACCCAGAGAUUCAAGGAGGAUUAGGAUCGGAUGACUUGUUAGGAUGGACUGGAAUGUACGGCCGAGGUCUGUGGGAGUUUCUGUUGCACUGCCAGAAAAACUGAACCCUUCCCUUUCAGCAGCAAACGUUCACGGUCCCUGAAGGUGCGAGUGAAAGGUUUUGAAUUCACUGUUCAGGAAAACGUCGAUACGAGGCCGUAUGCGUCAUGUCAUCGACCUUCUCCGUGAGAAGUGACGGGCGAGGCCCCGUUACCGAGCUGUCCUCAUCCCUUUCUAAAACAUCCGAACUGUAACCUCCCACUUUUGUCCCUUUCGGUGCCUAUUUGCGCUAAAGGCCGUGUUUCACAGCGAGCAGGACCGCCGCGCCACGGAUCACCAAACAAAGUCAGGAAAGAGGUGGAUAACGUGGUGAUUGACAGCUGAGACGGGCUCACAAAAGGUCGAUACCGCGGCUCCAGACUCCAGAUCACCAGCACACGAUGGCAGCACCUGUAUUCUGGAUGUUUUUGCACCACGAGAGGAAGCGGUGAAGCGUCGUCCAUCUUUCUUUGCGUUCGCUGACGCCGACUGAAAGAUUUUAUGUUACAUCACUGCGGCCAAACCACAGAGCAAACACAAGUUAUUAAUGUUGUGUCGUCAGUGUGUUUAUUUCUGCAGAACAUUUUGUUUUUGAAGAGAAGACAGAAACCACUUGGUGGGAGGACGGGACAUGAGCCAAGAGAGAAGUCAUUACAUUUUCCCUCGGAUAUGAACAAAGGAGCAAAAAUCUGGAUCUAGCGUAUUUUAAAUGUGGUUUCAUCGAUGGGUAGAUUUAACAGGACCAGAAACAUUAGAGAAUGUGGGUUCAGUAGAGAAUCUGACAAACUAUUUGAUUUCAGGCACAAAGAUGCAUCGUCACCUCUGAUUGGACCGGACCAGCUCAGAUUUAUGUGACGCAAUAAAACUCACAACAAAUACUGGACGAUCCGGACGACGCAGAUAAAACCUGCUCAAUCCCAAAAGAAAAGGUUUUCAGGUUUCACACCAGGCGUUGGGACCAGUAAAGGUCCGACACCGGUUCUGACACGCAGCCAGUUGUUCCAGUUGGGUGCUGAAUGGGGUCGAGGUCACUGCUCCGUGCGGACCAGUCAAAACCCCCACAUAAACACCAAACUGGGAAAACUGUUCCUCUGAAGCCUUGAGCAGGAACGCACCGUCAUGUGGAAUCAGGAAAGAGACCCACACCAAACACUCAGCAAGGAAAACGUGAAAAUGAAACGUCUGAAUCUGUUUAUUGGAGCAGAUCUGCCGCGCUGGCAUCUGCUGCGCUCAGGAACCGUCUGAACAGUUUGGAGCAUUUCCAGCAGAUUCUUCGUUGGCGGCUCACGAGUUCUUACUGAAAUCUGCAGCGACAACGUUAAAAUCAUGUGGCUCAACGCAGCCAGACGGAUGAACCCUGCAGCGGAAUCUGCUUGUUGCAGCAGGGAAAGUACCGGAAAUCAGCGAGAUCAAGAUAAAGACAACAUCUAUGGCAGCGACGCGUCUCUGUGGGGAGACUGGCAGUAUUGUGUAGCUCAGGGUUUUCUCCGACGCCAUUAUGACAACAUGUUUGUGUUUACGCCCCGGUGUGUGUGCGGCGGUGGAUAUUCUUCCCACUGACCAACAUCCUGGCAAACAAAGGACGUUCUGUGCCCUGAACAGGAGGACGACUCCAACCAGGAGCCGGCGAGGGAAACGGAGGCUUUUCUACAUCUCCAUGGAUACACAUGCGACUUUAAUAAUCACAAUAAUAAUAAGUAUUUAGAUAUUUUAAGUGUGUUAGUAAUAAAUGUGAAUCGUCGGGUUCCUCUGAAUCUCACAGAGUCAGAAAUGUGGGUUUUUAAACACACACACAAUGCUUCUGAAAUCACGUCAGUGCAGAAAGCUGCUGUAUUUUUAAUUAAUCAUUAACAAUUAAAGGCAUAAAAAGCCACUGUUCACUUGCUGCUUCCUUCACACAGGAACAUGUGUGUCUCAUUAACCACAAGGCCAAACGGGCCUGUAAACUAAUG